AUUGAACGCUGGCGGCAGGCCUAACACAUGCAAGUCGAACGAGUGGCGGACGGGUGAGUAAUGUCUGGGAAACUGCCUGAUGGAGGGGGAUAACUACUGGAAACAGUAGCUAAUACCGCAUAACAUCGUCGGUGCCCGGAUGGGAUUAGCUGGUAGGUGGGGUAAAGGCUUACCUAGGUGACGAUCCCUAGGUGGUCUGAGCGGAUGAACAGCAACAUUGGAACUGAGACACGGUCCAGACUCCUACGGGAGGCAGCAGUGGGGAAUAGUGCACAAUGGGCGAAAGCCUGAUGCAGCAAUGCCGCGUGAGGGAAGAAGGUCUUCGGGUUGUAAAGCACUGUGAGUGGGGAGGCGUUACCCGCCGAAGAAGCACCGGCUAACUACGUGCCAGCAGCCGCGGUAAUAC
rnacentral:rRNA from 1 species